AGUUGUUGGUUGAAAUUUGGGCUGCUUUUGUGAUGGAACCUUUGGGAAAAGUCGGACACUAUCUUUAUAAGCAAAUUGUGUCGCCAGUCCUAUGUGGUAUAAGUGCUCUUGUUGGUAGUUUAAACUUGGUAUUCAAUUCAGAAGAAUACCAUGAUGAGUAGUAACAUAUACGAUACUAAGAGGUGGUGUUUGUAGUAUAAAGCACAACAACAAAAACAAUAAAAUUGGUUUUAAGGAAUAUUGAAGAGAUAGGAACUAUUAAAACGCUCUUUGUGCCUUUGGAUUCAGGAUGAUGUAUGCAUAUUUACGACACAUAUACGAUAUUAAAAAAAUUAUUGAUUAAAAAAAAUUAUAAAAAUUCUAUGUAAAAGAAGGUAAAUUAAAAAAUA